rnacentral:pre_miRNA from 1 species
GGGACUCGUGUGUGUGUGUGUGUGUGUGUGUGUGUGUGUGUGUGUGUGUGUGCGCGUGCAUGUGUGCAUGCCCUGCCACAC